GACGAACCGUGCGAACGUUGUUCGGAAUCACUGGGCAUAAAGGGCGCGUAGGCGGCUUUUCAAGUCAGGGGUGAAAUCCGGCAGCUCAACUGUCGAAGUGCCCUUGAUACUGAUGAGCUCGAGGGAGGUAGGGGUGUGUGGAACUUCCGGUGGAGCGGUGAAAUGCGUUGAUAUCGGAAGGAACGCCGGUGGCGAAAGCGACGCACUGGGCCAGUACUGACGCUGAGGCGCGAAAGCUAGGGGAGCAAACGGG
rnacentral:rRNA from 1 species